rnacentral:tRNA from 1 species
GGUGGCUCAGUGGUAGAGUGCUUGCCUUGCAUGCAUGAGGCCCUGGGUGAUUCCCCAGCACCA